rnacentral:rRNA from 1 species
CGGGGUGCACCAGGCGCGAAAACUUUACAAUGCGGGAAACCGUGAUAAGGGGACACCGAGUGCCAGCAUCAUAUGCUGGCUGUCCAGGUGUGUAAAAUACACCUGUCAGCAAGGGCCGGGCAAGACCGGUGCCAGCCGCCGCGGCAACACCGGCGGCCCGAGUGGUGAUCGUGAUUAUUGGGUCUAAAGGGUCCGUAGCCGGUUUGGUCAGUCCUCCGGGAAAUCUGACGGCUCAACCGUUAGGCUUUCGGGGGAUACUGCCAGGCUUGGAACCGGGAGAGGUAAGAGGUACUACAGGGGUAGGAGUGAAAUCUUGUAAUCCCUGUGAGACCACCUGUGGCGAAGGCGUCUUACCAGAACGGGUUCGACGGUGAGGGACGAAAGCUGGGGGCACGAACCGGAUUAGAUACCCGGGUAGUCCCAGCCGUAAACGAUGCUCGCUAGGUGUCAGGCAUGGCGCGACCGUGUCUGGUGCCGCAGGGAAGCCGUGAAGCGAGCCACCUGGGAAGUACGGCCGCAAGGCUGAAACUUAAAGGAAUUGGCGGGGGAGCACAAGGGCGAAUCGC